rnacentral:rRNA from 1 species
CCUACGGGAGGCAGCAGUGAGGAAUAUUGGUCAAUGGACGAGAGUCUGAACCAGCCAAGUAGCGUGAAGGAUGACUGCCCUAUGGGUUGUAAACUUCUUUUAUAUGGGAAUAAAACGUUCCACGUGUGGGAUUUUGUAUGUACCAUAUGAAUAAGGAUCGGCUAACUCCGUGCCAGCAGCCGCGGUAAUACGGAGGAUCCGAGCGUUAUCCGGAUUUAUUGGGUUUAAAGGGAGCGUAGGUGGAUUGUUAAGUCAGUUGGGAAAGUUUGCGGCUCAACCGUAAAAUUGCAGUUGAAACUGGCAGUCUUGAGUACAGUAGAGGUGGGCGGAAUUUGUGGUGUAGCGGUGAAAUGCUUAGAUAUUACGAAGAACUCCGAUUGCGAAGGCAGCUCACUGGACUGCAACUGACACUGAGGCUCGAAAGUGUGGGUAUCAAACAGGAUUAGAUACCCGGGUAGUC